AACAGAAACAAUGAACCAGCAGUACAGUGGAUCAAAACCUGAACUUGUUUCUUCCACAGAGAUGACAGUCUAACACGGACACACAGGCAGAUCUUUUUGCAUGGAACGCUACCUAUACAGUUGGGAAAUAGAAAGGUGGUUGGGUGCUUUGUGGGCUAAAUGCUGGGGAUUUGGAAUCAGGCACUCUUGAUCUUGAAUUCCAACUUUAACGCUAGGCAGACACUGUGUGACUUUGGGAAAGUUUCCCAGCCGUUUUGAACUUUGUUCCUGGUUUAAAGCAAAGUUGGUAACUCCUCAUAGAACAAUAUGUCUUAGAACCAAUUGACUGGGUUCAAAGCAGAGAUCUCUUGUGAACUAAUGUUUCGGUGUUAGGAAAGUCAUUGAAAGCUUCUGGGCUUCAGUUCCUUCAGCUUAAAAUGGGGAUAGCAAUAUCCAACUCAGAUUGUUGGUAUGAGCCCGUGAAAUAGAGAACAGAAGCUCUCUGAGCUGUGCUUGGCACCCCCAAUCACUCAAUGCAUUUGAUCUUGUUGUUAUCUACCUUGUAGUGUGCCAUGAAUGUUAACAGAGACUGGAGCAAGGCCUAACAUUGGGCUAAUGGCAACAAUUACUAACAGUGACCAACUAGAAGGAGAAUAGACGCGUCGUCACAAAAAGAAGCCAAUGAGAAUCUAGACGGAAUGAAAUGGGCAACAAUCCCCAAGCCACAGACUCAUUCAUCACCCAUCACAAGGAAGAAGCAACAGCUAGGGCGGUGGCCCUGGGGAGAACAGUGCUUCCCUGCUUCGAGAGUACGUCAUAAAAUGUAGGUGAAGGAAGGCAUAAAUGACCUGUUCUAAGAACGCAGGGGAAGGUCUCCCUCAACACAGCAUUCAUUGGAAUGAAAUUCAGGACAAACACUAUACUAUGCAUGAAGAUCACUGCCUGGAGACCCCAGCUCUUCAUUCCCGACGUCGUAUUUGAAAAUGGAACCUGAGGAAAGCGUGCUUUAUUCAUUUUGUUGUUUUCUGUGGUGCUCGCUCGGCUGCCCUGAAAGCCCACCACAGGAGAGCUCAAUUAGGAGGCUUCAUAAUUUUCACCGGUUAACUUUGAUUAAAUGCACUGUCUUGGAGGGGAAACUCAGCCAAUCCGGGCUAUAAAUUACCUGCAGUGAGUUUUCAACCUAGAGUUUCUGAAAUAUUAGCACCCGGACAGGUCAUUUCUUUCAGGGCUGGACUUUACACCUGAUUUGGAAUUCCGUACUUCAUUUUACCAGAGUCAAGAACUGAGGGCGAAACUGCCUGUAUUGCUCAGCCCAACAGGUCCCUCAAAGCACAUGUAGAAAAAUUCAUUCAUUCAUUCAUUCAUUCAUUCAUUCUGAUGUCUGCCACUGGCUGUAUCCAUUAGUGUAAGGGUGAAGUCCCUUUGACCCCGUCCCCCUCACUAGCUUCUAUUUAUUAUCUUACACCUCACAGUGUCUUCUGGCUCGUGAGCCAGAUUUCAGUCAGAUCAGUUGCCAAAGGUUAGACAAAGCGGGAUGAAAAGAACAGGUU
rnacentral:lncRNA from 1 species